AAACAUAGUCCAGCAUCGACGAACCAUCAGUUUGGAAGGGUUACAGAUAUUUAUUCGUGACGACGAGACCAAACUCUUCUUAACAUGUCUGGAUACAGAUCCAGUUGAGAGGGCAACCCGAGGUGUUACGGUGGGCAUCCUCACUGUUCUGGAGGACUAUGUGGGACCCAACUCGCAGUCCACAGUGGUCAACACUGCCAUUGUUUUGGAAGAGGACAUUAUUCUUGAUGAUCUGCCAGACCUUCCCACUGCCUUUGCCUACCUGUUUGGCCUACUUUAUGGGGUCAACAUGGAGUUUCCCAAAGAACUCAAGUACACAUUUGUUUGCUGUAUGGAAACCAGAUAGAAGAGUUCAUAUCCUGCCAUCUGAUGUUUUGAAUCUGUUUGUUAGUGACUAUCAGUCAAGAUAGGUUUGAUAUUCUGUCUGACAAUACCACACCUUUAAAAUUGGAUGAGUAACAUUUGUUACAAAAAUUUGACCUUUUUUUGUUUUUGGAAAAGGACUUUAUUUGUGGCUAAAUGUUGUCAGUAUGUUAAAAAUGGCUCAUCUCAAAACAUUGUCAGUGGUGCAGUUGUGUUUGAACACAAAGUUAUUUGAAAAUCAAAAUUGUGUAAACAUUCAUUAAUACAACAGGGAGCACCUCAUGAAAACUAUAAAGGAUACUUUUUCUAAACUUUAGGAAAUUGAUUGGCAAAACAAAAAAAAUAUGUUGUGUAAACUUUAGGAAUUACAUUGUUAAAACAAUGAAAAAUAUAUUUUGUCAACUUUAGGAAAUACGUUGCCAAAACUAAAACUAAUACCUUGUGUAAACUUUAGGAAAUACAUUGCUAAGACAAUAAAAUAUGAGUUAAGAAAAAGCACAGUUAUUAAUUUUGUAAACACAAAAACAUUAGUUGAAGCAACUUUUCUCCUAAACUUGAAAUUAUAAGUUAUUCAUCAGAACCUAAAAACGUAAAUGCAGUGGGUUGCCUUGAGUUUUUAAGUUUUUGCAACAAUUCUUUUUUUUACAGUGUAUUUUAUUUAGUGCCCUGUGAACUAAUGCCUUUCUUCCAACCAUGUCUAACAAAAACACAUGAAUUUAAAUAAAAUAUCCAUAAAGUAAAGUAGAAAGGAUUGCUUUUGUAUAAUAAAACAGUAAGAAUAGGAGUAAAUUUUGAUUUUGAUAUAUUGGUAUGUCACAAAGUCAUGUAUUAUAUUAGCAAUGAGUAAUAUUGCACUGAAGUUUAUGUUAUUGAGUAAUAAGGGGGCAGAAACUUGGAAUAAUAAUGUGGAAACAUUACUUUAUUAACUUGGUUUUCCAUAUUAUUACCGUCUUGUUUCCACAUUAUUACACCACUAUUAUGGCAUUAUUAUGAAGUUGUAAUAGAAAGGAUUACCAAAGUGUGAAGAAUUAUCAUUGAAAUCAUUUUUUAAAUGUGUUUUGGAGAAGUUUGUCUAAGUUUAUAAGACAUCUUUGAGUUUCAGGAGAGGAAAAAAAGUGGUAAACAUUUAAAUGCAUAAAGCAAAACAUAUAGUUGGCCCAGAAAUUGAGCUCAGCAUCACACAUACUGUUUCAUCUUGCAAAGAAACCCUGUAAUGUUUGCCAAUAUUCCCUUGGCUUGUCCAUUUGAAUAGUGCAUGGAAUGACAUUUAUAAUACGCCCUUUACUCUGCUCACCUCAUUAUAGGUAAGGCAAGCUGUGAGGAAAUGGCUUUAGAUUAUGAAAAACAGAGCCACAGGAAUUCAGCUGAAAAGUCCAAACCUUUGGCAGUUCUCUCAGGAGAAUCUACACAUACAGUGCAUUAUUUACAGCCUAUUCUAAUACUAACUCAGCCAUGGAUGAGCUGCACAAGGCAAUAAGGAGUCAGCAGAACUCCUAUCCCAAUGCAGUGUACAUCAUAGUUGGGGACUUUAACCAUGUUGACUUAAGGUCAGUAUUCACCAAAUUUGAACAUUAUAGCAACAAGGUGGAAAAACACACUGGAUAAAGCCUACAGCAACAUCCAAAAAGGCUACAGAGCAACCCCUCUCGGACUAAUGGUGUCAAAGGCCCCUCCCAUCAGAAGGAGACACACUCCACCCACUCCAGUUCGCAUACAGAGCUAACACAUUAACUGAAGAUGCCAUUGUUACAACGCUCAGAAUACUGCAGCAAGACUCUUAACAGGCACCAACAAAAGAUCUCAUAUCACCCCAGUUUUGGCCUCCCUUCACUGGUUGCCUGUAAAUUUUAGGUUUCAUUUUCAAAUUUUACUUCUAACCUUUAGGGCCCUACAUGGUCAAGCUCCACAGUAUAUAUAUCUGACCCGCUGAAACUGCAUUCAUCUUCCCAAGCUCUAAGGUCAUCAGGUCAACAACUGCUGAUUCCACCACACACUCGAUUUUAAACUCGUGGUGAUCGUUCCUUUCAGGCAGUGGCACCACAGUUGUGGAAUUCUCUUUCACUGUUUUUACACUGUACUGACACCACUGAUUCUUUUAAAAAGCAGCUGAAGAUAUUUUUAUAUAGACAAGCAUUCAACUAAUUUGUUGUUUUUAUGUUGUAUUUUAUUGUUUUACAUUGUCCAGCAUGUUGACUGUUACCUGAAAUGCCACUUACUGACCAACAGAUGGCACUCUUACAAAUACCAAAUCUGAUUUGGUAUCUGUAGUCAGACAGUGCUUGUGUCAUCAGUGUCACUUUAACAUUACAAAGAGUAAAAACAAGUAAAAUAUAUUUACAAUAAGCAGACCUAAGUGCCGGAAAGUUCAAACACUGAAAAGCACAAAGGCCAACUUUGUGUCAUCCUCUGAAUGCUUCAUGACACUCUUAGACAGUUUUUAUCCUUCAAUGCUGAUUUGACUGAGUGAUGUGUACAUGGUUUUAUUUAUUUACUUACUUUCACAUUUACCUCGACUUACUUUGCUUCAGCCAGCUGUGUUUUUAUAAUCAUGCAGUCAUCGGACCUUUGGAACCUUUGUGAAUUGGACAAAAUCCAAAAUAAAUUCAAACUUGUGCACCCAGUUCUUUUUUUUAAGUCAUUAAAGAUGCCAUAAUGGGUAUAU